UCUCACCUACGGGACGCAGCAGUAGGGAAUUUUCGUCAAUGGGCGCAAGCCUGAACGAGCAAUGCCGCGUGAACGAGGAAGGUCUUCGGAUCGUAAAGUUCUGUUGAAGGGGAAAAAGAGCGGAGAGAGGAAAUGAACUCCGAUUGAUAUUACCCUUCGAGGAAGUCACGGCUAACUACGUGCCAGCAGCCGCGGUAAUACGUAGGUGGCGAGCGUUAUCCGGAAUGAUUGGGCGUAAAGGGUGCGUAGGCGGCCUGCUAAGACUGGAGUGAAAGGUACCGGCUCAACCGGUACAGGCUCUGGAA
rnacentral:rRNA from 1 species